rnacentral:rRNA from 1 species
GCUAAAAAUCUAGCCCAUCUACGCUAAAUACACCUUAUUAAUUAAUUAAUUUCAACUAAAACAUUUUCACAUCUUAGUAAAGGCGAUUGAAAAAUUAUUUGGAGCUAUAAUAAUAGUACCGCAAGGGAAAGAUGAAAUAAAAAUGAAAUAAACAUCAAGCACAAAAAAGUAAAGAUUUGCCUUGUACCUUUUGCAUCAUGGUUUAGCUAGUUAAAUUAAGCAAAACGACUUAUAGUUUAACUUCCCGAAACUAGGCGAGCUACUUCGAGGCAGCUUACUGAGCAAACCCGUCUCUGUUGCAAAAGAGUGGGAAGACCUUUAAGUAGAGGUGACAAGCCUAACGAGCUUAGUGAUAGCUGGUUACUUAAUAAAAGGAUUUUAGUCCAACCUAAAGUUUAAAUAAUAUAAAUAACAUAACAAAAUCGCUUUAGAGUAAUUCAAAUAAGGUACAGCCUAUUUGAAAAAGGAGACAACCUAAAAAGAUGGGUAAUUACUAGCGGCAAUGACCAAGUAGGCUUAAAAGCAGCCACCUUAAAGACAGCGUCAAAGCUCCAUUAUCCCCGCCCCCGAUACCUCAAACAAACCAGAACCCUCCUCCUCCAAUAAGUACUUCUAUAAUUCUAUAGAACAUUUUAUGUUAAAACUAGUAACAAGAAGAAGAACUUCACUUAAAUGCAAGUGUAAAUCAGAAAGGACCUACCACUGACUUUUAUCAUACAUGCAAACAAAUUAAUAAAUUAUCAAGAAAAAUUUAAUUUUAGCUAUGUUAAUCUAACACAAGAGCAUUUCAAGUACGAUUUAACGAAAAAGAAGGAACUCGGCAAAUAUUAACCUCGCCUGUUUACCAAAAACAUCGCCUCUUGACAAAAUAUAAGAGGUCCAGCCUGCCCAGUGACUUUGUUCAACGGCCGCGGUAUCCUAACCGUGCGAAGGUAGCGUAAUCACUUGUUCUUUAAAUGAGGACCAGUAUGAAUGGCAUCACGAAGGUUACACUGUCUCCUUUUUCCAAUCAGUGAAACUAAUCUCCCCGUGAAGAAGCGGGGAUAAACCUAUAAGACGAGAAGACCCUAUGGAGCUUUAAACUAAAUAACACUUGCUUUUACACAAUCUGCCUCCAGAGCAACUUCCACUUACUUUAGCCUCCUGAUUAUUAGUUUUAGGUUGGGGUGACCGCGGAGUAAAAAAUAACCUCCACAUUGAAUGGGAGAAUUCCCCUGAGCCGCGAACUACAACUCUAAGCACCAAUAAAUUGACAUCAAUUGACCCAAUAUAUUGAUCAACGAACCAAGUUACCCUAGGGAUAACAGCGCAAUCCGCUUUAAGAGCCCCUAUCGACAAGCGGGUUUACGACCUCGAUGUUGGAUCAGGGUAUCCCAGUGGUGCAGCCGCUACUAAAGGUUCGUUUGUUCAACGAUUAAAACCCUACGUGAUCUGAU